CUUAAUUAACAUAAAUCAUGUUUUACAGGUUGGAACUGUCUCAGUUGACCAAGUGGAAAUGUUCCAGUAUGCACAAGAAGUUGGCUCCAAGGAAAAUGCAAGGCCUCUACAACCUAGAAAUGGUCGUCUGAUCAAGCUCUUUAAUCCACUCUUUAACUGAUGAUCAUGAAGCAAAAUGUGAAGCUUAAGUAAUGAUCAUGGAAUAAUUAUCCAUUAAAUAAAACCCUGUCUUGUAUGAUGGAUGUUGGCUUAAUAAAAAUGGGUUCGCUCAUGUUUCCAUUUA